ensembl:lncRNA
GUGGAGACUAUCUGGGCCCAGGCCAGCCCUGUCACUUAGUUUCCUGGUGCUAUCACUUGCAGCAGGGUGCCAUGUCAAUCAAUGAGUACUUGUUGAAGUUCAGGAUUCUUGCAGCAGUAAGUGGAUGGAAUGAGUGUUGCUGAUGACCUACAGACAGGGACUGGAGCCUCAGCUUCGUUUACAGCUUGCUGUGUAUGAUGCACUUGGUUUGGGGAAAUUUAUUCAGCUAUCCAGCCGUUGUUCCAACCGCAUGCAGUCCUGUGUAGCAGCAACACCAAUCUCUUACCUCCGCUGGCCAGAGCCCAGUUACCCUCCAGAACUCGAGCCCAUGAUUGUGAAGAGCCAACGGUUGUUGUCAGCUGAGCGGCAGAGAAGGCUGACCCGAGGACUCUGUUUGUAUUGUGGAACUCAGGGGCACAUUAUUCUGGCAUGCCCCCUUCACCCUCCACGUCCUGUGUAUCAGCCCUUAUCGACUCCGGGUCAGCAGUGAACUGCAUCUUAAGGAACCUCUGCCACCAGCUCAAAUUGCAAGCUACCUCCACCAAAAAGGUCUACCAAGUUCAGUCAAAAACUGGAAAUCCACUUUGUAAGACGUGUGGGACAUCACUCUUCAUCUUGGCCUUCACUCGGAGGAAAUCCAUCUUCUGGUUCUGGAGGGGUCUACUGCUGACGUCAUCCUUCUGAUGUUCUGGCCAUUUAUUUCCGGUUCCGGGAAAGCAAGAGGGUCUGGGACGCUGCUCACCAACAUCUCCAAAGGGCAGUGUGCAGGCAAAAGGUGGCACGCGGAAACGCCCACCUACCAAACAGGUCAAAAAGUAUGGCUAUCAACUCGGGAUAUCAGACUGCGCCUGCCCUGUAGGAAGCUCAUUUACAGAUUUGUUGGUCCCUUCACCAUCGUGGAACAAACCCCGGUCACCUACAGAUUACAACUUCCCUCACAGUACAGAAUUCAUUCCUCAUUUCACGUGUCACUACUCAAACCUCACCAUGAUCCUGUUUCUCUCCCCACAGAGCCUGGCCAGAUGGAGGAACCCCUCUUCCAUUGAUCCUGGAUGAGAGGUCAGUCUACAAGGUGAAGGAGCUUCUGCAGUCCCGGUGCCAUGGUGUCCCAGACUGCUGAGGUGUGUGCUCUUCCUGUGCACUUCCCAAACUCCUGUAAGGACAAAGACUCUGUUCACCAUUCCCUUUAUAUCCUUUGAACUGAUCCACGACCUUGAUACUCAUCAUAUACAUGACCGGACUCCAUACUCUCUGUGACAAACAUCUUUUGCAUAUUUUUAACCUGCUGUGUCAAGACCUCUUCCGUUACAAUAGUACAGUAGGUGGCCAACCAGAGUGUUUUCUGCCACCGUGUCUGCAAAGUGCAUUUGCUGCUUUUGACCGCUGAGUGGCGCUUUAACCACAAGUUCUCAAACGCAUCAACGCAUAUUUUCACAAAUAGCUGUCAGCUUUGCCUCACUGGUGUGCUACAUUUGACGGCUGCAGUCAGAGCAAAAUGAAAAACACUGUAGUUAAAAUAUUUAAUAUUCACAGAAGAAACUUUAGUAGCCUGCUUAAGUUAUGUUUUUCUUAGAACGAAUAAAGCACACACAUACUUUGUUAUUCAUUACCUGUCAUUUAUUUUGAAAGAUAACAACUUGUGGGGGGAUAUCUGUCUGUA